UUGACGGAGAGUUUGAUCCUGGCUCAGGACGAACGCUGGCGGCGUGCCUAAAACAUGCAAGUCGAACGAGGUCCAUCCGGUGGCAACACCGGGGAAGACCUAGUGGCGAACGGGUGAGUAACACGUGAGGAACCUGCCCCGGAGACCGGGAUAACCCUUCGAAAGGAGGGCUAAUACCGGAUAUCCUCAUCGGACCGCAUGAUCCGAUGAGCAAAUGCAUUGUGCUCCGGGAGGGCCUCGCGGCCUAUCAGCUAGUUGGUGAGGUAACGGCUCACCAAGGCUACGACGGGUAGCUGGUCUGAGAGGACGAUCAGCCACACUGGGACUGAGACACGGCCCAGACUCCUACGGGAGGCAGCAGUUAGGAAU
rnacentral:rRNA from 1 species